rnacentral:rRNA from 1 species
UUGGAGGGCAAGUCUGGUGCCAGCAGCCGCGGUAAUUCCAGCUCCAAUAGCGUAUAUUAAAGUUGUUGCAGUUAAAAAGCUCGUAGUUGAAUUUCGGGAUUGACGUGAUGGUCAUGCCUUAAGGGGUAUGAACUGUUACUGUUGAUUUCUCACCUUCUGGAGAAACUUGAUGUCCUUUAUUGGGUGUCUUGCGGAUCCAGGACCUUUACCUUGAAAAAAUUAGAGUGUUUAAAGCAGGCAUUUUUUGCUCGAAUACAUUAGCAUGGAAUAAUAGAAUAGGACGGCAUGGUUCUAUUUUGUUGGUUUCUAGGAUCACCGUAAUGAUUAAUAGGGAUAGUUGGGGGCAUUAGUACUCAAUUGUCAGAGGUGAAAUUCUUGGAUUUAUUGAAGACUAACUACUGCGAAAGCAUUUGCCAAGGAUGUUUUCAUUAAUCAAGAACGAAAGUUAGGGGAUCGAAGACGAUCAGAUACCGUCGUAGUCUUAACCAUAAACUAUGCCGACUAGGAAUCAGACGAUGUUAAUUUUUUAAUGACUCGUUCGGCGCCUUACGGGAAAC